GUAAAUAUGUGAAUUUAGACCAUGUGAUUUUAUUUAUUUAUUUAUUUAUUUAUUUUUGACACUGAGUUGAAACAAAUUAUUACAAUUAAUAUGUGCGAAUGGUCGUUAAAACUGAAAGUAUUACUGAAAUAUUUUCAAAUAUAACUCGAAUAAAAUUGUUCAAAAAUGAUUCUCUUACAUGAUAAUAAAUUAUAAAUAUGUCACGCAGGGGGAAAAAACUUGUUUAACUAGAGCAUCUUUCUAAGUAUCCAACGUUUUCUAAAAAC
rnacentral:lncRNA from 1 species